CUUCAGGGCGGGGUGCAAGUCCCCACCGGCGGUGAAAGCCCGCGAGCUGCGGCCCCAUCGGCCGCGGCUGAACCGGUGAAAUUCCGGUGCCGACGGUAUAGUCCGGACGGGAGAGG
rnacentral:ncRNA from 1 species